UACGUAGGGGGCAAGCGUUGUCCGGAAUUAUUGGGCGUAAAGAGCGCGUAGGCGGUCCGAUAAGUCGGCCGUGAAAGUCAGGGGCUCAACCCUUGAAAGCCGGCCGAUACUGUCGGACUAGAGUCCGGAAGAGGCAAGUGGAAUUCCUGGUGUAGCGGUGAAAUGCGCAGAUAUCAGGAGGAACACCUAUGGCGAAGGCAGCUCGCUGGGACGGUAUUGACGCUGAGACGCGAAAGCGUGGGGAGCGAACAGG
rnacentral:rRNA from 1 species